AGAGUUUGAUCAUGGCUCAGAUUGAACGCUGGCGGCAUGCCUAACACAUGCAAGUCGAACGGAAACGAUGCUAGCUUGCUAGCAGGCGUCGAGUGGCGGACGGGUGAGUAAUGUAUAGGAACUUGCCUAGUAGUGGGGGACAACGUGUGGAAACGCACGCUAAUACCGCAUAAUCUCUACGGAGGAAAGCAGGGGAUCUUCGGACCUUGUGCUACUAGAUGGGCCUAUAUCGGAUUAGCUAGUUGGUAAGGUAAUGGCUUACCAAGGCGACGAUCCGUAGCUGGUUUGAGAGAAUGAUCAGCCACACUGGGACUGAGACACGGCCCAGACUCCUACGGGAGGCAGCAGUGGGGAAUAUUGCACAAUGGAGGCAACUCUGAUGCAGCAAUGCCGCGUGUGUGAAGAAGGCCUUAGGGUUGUAAAGCACUUUCAGACGUGAGGAAAAGUUAGCUAUUAAUACUAGCUAGCCCUGACG
rnacentral:rRNA from 1 species